AUACUUUUGAGUGACAUUCAUCAAUUGUCUCUUCAUUUUCACAACUGAAGGAUAAAGUAAAGAAGGCAAGAUAUCGUUUCAGUCAUCAUUAUUUCGAUUGAUGAUCUGAUUGUUGCUUGUCCACAA